CAUGGCUCAGAACGAACGCUGGCGGCAGGCUUAACACAUGCAAGUCGAGCGCCCCGCAAGGGGAGCGGCAGACGGGUGAGUAACGCGUGGGAAUCUACCAUUUGCUACGGAACAACUCCGGGAAACUGGAGCUAAUACCGUAUGUGCCCGAAAGGGGAAAGAUUUAUCGGCAAAUGAUGAGCCCGCGUUGGAUUAGCUAGUUGGUGGGGUAAAGGCCUACCAAGGCGACGAUCCAUAGCUGGUCUGAGAGGAUGAUCAGCCACACUGGGACUGAGACACGGCCCAGACUCCUACGG
rnacentral:rRNA from 1 species